AUUGAACGCUGGCGGAAUGCCUUACACAUGCAAGUCGAACGGCAGCACGGACUUCGGUCCGGUGGCGAGUGGCGAACGGGUGAGUAAUAUAUCGGAACGUGCCCAGUCGUGGGGGAUAACGUAGCGAAAGCUACGCUAAUACCGCAUACGAUCUACGGAUGAAAGCGGGGGAUCGCAAGACCUCGCGCGAUUGGAGCGGCCGAUAUCAGAUUAGGUAGUUGGUGAGGUAAAGGCUCACCAAGCCGACGAUCUGUAGCUGGUCUGAGAGGACGACCAGCCACACUGGGACUGAGACACGGCCCAGACUCCUACGGGAGGCAGCAGUGGGGAAUUUUGGACAAUGGACGCAAGUCUGAUCCAGCCAUUCCGCGUGCAGGACGAAGGCCUUCGGGUUGUAAACUGCUUUUGUACAGAACGAAAAGGUCUCUAUUAAUACUAGGGGCUCAUGACGGUACUGUAAGAAUAAGCACCGGCUAACUACGUGCCAGCCGCCGCCGUAA
rnacentral:rRNA from 1 species